rnacentral:rRNA from 1 species
GACGAACGCUGGCGGCGUGCUUAACACAUGCAAGUCGAACGGGAAGGCCCUGCUUUUGUGGGGUGCUCGAGUGGCGAACGGGUGAGUAACACGUGAGUAACCUGCCCUUGACUUUGGGAUAACUUCAGGAAACUGGGGCUAAUACCGGAUAGGAGCUCCUGCUGCAUGGUGGGGGUUGGAAAGUUUCGGCGGUUGGGGAUGGACUCGCGGCUUAUCCGCUUGUUGGUGGGGUAGUGGCUUACCAAGGCUUUGACGGGUCGCCGGCCUGAGAGGGUGACCGGCCACAUUGGGACUGAGAUACGGCCCAGACUCCUACGGGAGGCAGCAGUGGGGAAUAGUGCACUAUGGGCUGAAGCCUAAUGCAGCAACGCCGCGUGCGGGAUGACGGCAUGCGGUUUGUAAACCGCUUUCGCCUGUGACGAAGCGUGAGUGACGGUAAUGGGUAAAGAAGCACCGGCUAACUACGUG